UGGGGAAUAUUGCACAAUGGGGGAAACCCUGAUGCAGCAACGCCGCGUGAGUGAAGAAGUAUUUCGGUAUGUAAAGCUCUAUCAGCAGGGAAGAUAAUGACGGUACCUGACUAAGAAGCUCCGGCUAAAUACGUGCCAGCAGCCGCGGUAAUACGUAUGGAGCAAGCGUUAUCCGGAUUUACUGGGUGUAAAGGGUGCGUAGGUGGCAGUGCAAGUCAGAUGUGAAAGGCCGGGGCUCAACCCCGGAGCUGCAUUUGAAACUGCAUAGCUGGAGUACAGGAGAGGCAGGCGGAAUUCCUAGUGUAGCGGUGAAAUGCGUAGAUAUUAGGAGGAACACCAGUGGCGAAGGCGGCCUGCUGGACUGUUACUGACACUGAGGCACGAAAGCGUGGGGAGCAAACAGG
rnacentral:rRNA from 1 species